UUGAACGCUGGCGGCAGGCCUAACACAUGCAAGUCGAGCGGAUGAAGGGAGCUUGCUCCUGGAUUCAGCGGCGGACGGGUGAGUAAUGCCUAGGAAUCUGCCUGGUAGUGGGGGAUAACGUCCGGAAACGGGCGCUAAUACCGCAUACGUCCUGAGGGAGAAAGUGGGGGAUCUUCGGACCUCACGCUAUCAGAUGGGCCUAGGUCGGAUUAGCUAGUUGGUGGGGUAAAGGCCCACCAAGGCGACGAUCCGUAA
rnacentral:rRNA from 1 species